AGCUCAAAUUCCUCAAAAGUGCAGGUAAACUUCAUUAAUUUUAUGCUCAUGCAAAUUGCUCACCUGUUAAUACAGUUGUUAAAUGCCAAAAACCUCUCAUAUUAAACUGAAAUGUUUGUCUUUUUUGGAAUUGUGCAUAAAGAUUUGGCAUACUGCAGGGUGGAUGCUUUGCCAAAAUGCUGGUUAGGUCACUAAUCAUUGUACUGCUGAGCCUCUACUCUAUCUGCAGUACUAAUGGGGUGUUAGGCCUCAAUUUUUUUUCCCGUAGAAAAGAAGCCAGCUAAAAGUCUGAAAAUUGGAUGGCUGAUAUGACGUGGAAACUUAGGAUGGACAUAAUCAACUCCUUAAAAAAUUAAUAUUGUUCUUGCAGUUGCAUAUAGUUACCAAAUUUACUCAACCCCCAAGCCAACCCCUCACACCCCCACGCCCCGGCCCCCAACAAUCUACGUUGCACAUUCCAAUUUGCGGGAUGUUUGUAUCCUAAAUUUCUAAGGGAUGCAAUUUGGGUUGCCAAAAUUUGGUUCCAAUGAAUGGUGAGGGGGAAGAUACAAUGUGGGGCUCUUUUCUAUCAUCAGUGGGGUUAUGUGGGACCUUGGGAGAGUAAUAUGGAAUAACACCUCUAGACUAAUCACUGCUAGAAAUGCAAGUUUUUAGGAAAUACGAGCACUAUUAAUUAUUAAUAUUUUUAAUUAUUUAAAAAUAUAUUAUUUUAACAGUCAAUAAUAAUAAUAAUAAUAAUA
rnacentral:misc_RNA from 1 species